AGAUGAUCAUGCGUCACAUUAGAUUGUUGGUAAGGUAACGGCUUACCAAGGCUACGAUGGGUAGGGGUCCUGAGAGGGAGAUCCCCCACACUGGUACUGAGACACGGACCAGACUCCUACGGGAGGCAGCAGUGAGGAAUAUUGGUCAAUGGGCGCAAGCCUGAACCAGCCAUGCCGCGUGCAGGAUGACGGUCCUAUGGAUUGUAAACUGCUUUUAUACAGGAAGAAACACUCGGACGUGUCCGAGCUUGACGGUACUGUAGGAAUAAGGAUCGGCUAACUCCGUGCCAGCAGCCGCGGUAAUACGGAGGAUCCAAGCGUUAUCCGGAAUCAUUGGGUUUAAAGGGUCCGUAGGCGGCUUAAUAAGUCAGUGGUGAAAGCCCUACGCUUAACGUAGGAACGGCCAUUGAUACUGUUAGGCUUGAAUUAUUAGGAAGUAACUAGAAUAUGUAGUGUAGCGGUGAAAUGCUUAGAGAUUACAUGGAAUACCAAUUGCGAAGGCAGGUUACUACUAAUGGAUUGACGCUGAUGGACGAAAGCGUGGGUAGCGAACAGGAUUAGAUACCCUGGUAGUCCACGCCGUAAACGAUGGAUACUAGCUGUUGGGAGCAAUCUCAGUGGCUAAGCGAAAGUGAUAAGUAUCCCACCUGGGGAGUACGUUCGCAAGUAUGAAACUCAAAGGAAUGACGGGGGCCCGCACAAGCGGUGGNGCAUGUGGU
rnacentral:rRNA from 1 species